UACGUAGGGUGCAAGCGUUGUCCGGAAUUAUUGGGCGUAAAGAGCUCGUAGGCGGUUUGUUGCGUCGGCUGUGAAAACCUGAGGCUCAACCUCAGGCCUGCAGUCGAUACGAUCAGGCUAGAGUGUUGCAGGGGAGACUGGAAUUCCUGGUGUAGCGGUGAAAUGCGCAGAUAUCAGGAGGAACACCGGUGGCGAAGGCGGGUCUCUGGGCAACAACUGACGCUGAGGAGCGAAAGCGUGGGGAGCGAACAGG
rnacentral:rRNA from 1 species